rnacentral:lncRNA from 1 species
GACAUUCUUCGCUUUAUGACGUUUAUCAUUUUCCAUACUUUCAUUUUAUUGCAUGGAAUCCGUUCAUCCUCCAUUCUUCAAAUCAAAUCAGGGGAGAUUCAAACAGUUGAUACCUCCCCAUUCAUUUCUAACUACCAUAUAACUACCAUAUAGCUAAUGUAGCGACGUACUGUUCAUGGCGCCGUUGUAGUCUGUGGCCGCUGGUCUUCUCUGGGAGGUAUGCCACAUACAUACAUACAUACAUACAUACAUACAUACAUACAUACAUACAUACAUACACACAAGCGUACAACGGGCGGGCAGCGGCCCUCCUCCAGGGGGCGCCUGCCCGCCUUGCGCACGUGUUCUCGCAGUCGGCACCCUCAGGGGGCUGUUCGCGAUGUGGGUGUUCAUGUCAGCUGCGUGCAUGUGCGCUAAAUAGGCUUGUCAGCUAGGAGCUGCAGACGCGGCUACGGGCUUCUAGACGGUGAGGGACAUUGGGUACCCCAUUGGGUUCCAGACAGAAACAGACAGUAGCGGACUGUUGCUCCCACAGGUCCCCCCCAGGUGGGUUUCCUGACAACCCCUGCACGGCACGUCAGGCGCCUCAUGAGCCCACGUACGUGUCUCCCCGGGGCGAGAGGCCGCAACAGACAGAAGCGAGAGACCAUCUGGGCAGUUUAAGGCCGUUUUGCAACUCUUGAGGUCACGGAAUGCUCUUAUGUCUAAAUUGGCACUUCGCCACUCUCACCUCC